AGAGUUUGAUCCUGGCUCAGAAUCAACGCUGGCGGCGCGCCUAACACAUGCAAGUCGAACGAGAAAGUGGAGCAAUCCAUGAGUAAAGUGGCGUACGGGUGAGUAACACGUGGAUAAUCUGCCCUUUAGUGGGGAAUACCGCUGGGAAACCGGCGACAAUACCGCAUAAGCUCGAGAGAGGAAAGCAGCAAUGCGCUGAAGGAGGAGUCCGCGGUCGAUUAGUUAGUUGGCGGGGUAAAGGCCCACCAAGACUGUGAUCGAUAGCCGGCCUGAGAGGGCACACGGCCACACUGGCACUGAAACACGGGCCAGACUCCUACGGGAGGCAGCAGUGGGGAAUCUUGCACAAUGGGGGAAACCCUGAUGCAGCGACGCCGCGUGAGCGAUGAAGCCCCUCGGGGUGUAAAGCUCUUUCGGCAGGGAAGA
rnacentral:rRNA from 1 species